UACCGCGGUUAUACGAGAGGCCCAAGUUGAUAGGCAUCGGCGUAAAGAGUGGUUAAGGUUAAGUACAUACUAAAGCCGAACGCUUACAAGGCUGUUAUACGCAUCCGAAAGUAAGAAGAACAACCACGAAAGUGGCUUUAUUACACCUGAACCCACGAAAGCCAAGGCACAAACUGGGAUUAGAUACCCCACUAUGCUUUAGCCCUAAACAUUGAUAGUCUUUUACACCCACUAUCCGCCCGGGAACUACGAGCAACAGCUUAAAACCCAAAGGACUUGGCGGUGCUUUAGACCCACCUAGAGGAGCCUGUUCUGAAACCGAUAACCCCCGUUCAACCUCACCUUUUCUUGUUCUCCCCGCCUAUAUACCGCCGUCGUCAGCUUACCCUAUGAAGGCCCCUUAGUAAGCAUAAUUGGUAUAACCCAAAACGUCAGGUCGAGGUGUAGCGUAUGAAAAGGGAAGAAAUGGGCUACAUUCCUUAUCGCAAGGAAUUACGAAAAAUAACACUGAAACGUGUAUCUAGAAGGAGGAUUUAGCAGUAAGCAGAAAAUAGAGCGUUCUGCUGAAACUGGCCCUGAAGCGCGCACACACCGCCCGUCACUCUCCCCAAGCACACCCAUGUGAUUUAACUUAAAACCUUUCAAUAGCAAAGGGGAGGCAAGUCGUAA
rnacentral:rRNA from 1 species